ensembl:misc_RNA Metazoa_SRP Metazoan signal recognition particle RNA
GCUGGGCGUGGUGGCUCACGCCUGUAAUCCCAGCACUUUGGGAGGCUGAGGCAGGCGGAUCACCUGAGGUCAGGAGUUUGAGACCAACCUGGCCAACAUGGUGAAACCCCGUCUCUA